UACGAAGGGGGCUAGCGUUGCUCGGAAUCACUGGGCGUAAAGCGCACGUAGGCGGCUUUUUAAGUCAGGGGUGAAAUCCUGGAGCUCAACUCCAGAACUGCCUUUGAUACUGAGAAGCUUGAGUCCGGGAGAGGUGAGUGGAGCUGCGAGUGUAGAGGUGAAAUUCGUAGAUAUUCGCAAGAACACCAGUGGCGAAGGCGGCUCACUGGCCCGGUACUGACGCUGAGGUGCGAAAGCGUGGGGAGCAAACAGG
rnacentral:rRNA from 1 species